AUGCUUCCGGCACCUCCUCCGUUCUCCCACGGCGACUUCGUCGGCGUUCUCUCCCGCUGCGCCACCCUCGCUCACCUGAAGCAGCUCCAUGCCCACUCCGUCGUCACCGCCCGCGCCGCCACGCAACCCACCACCUUCCACCUCCUCCGUUUCGCAUCCCUCCGCCUCUCCUGCCUCCCCUACGCCCGCCGCCUCUUUGACUCCACGCCCUAUCCCAAUGUCUUCCUCUACUCCGCCAUGCUCUCUGCCUACGCCGCCGCAUCCCCCGCGCAGGCGUACGCCCAGGACGCCCUCGCCCUCUUCCUCCGUAUGCUCCGCCGCGGCCGCUCCGCGCCCAACCAGUUCGUCUACCCGCUGGUCCUCCGCGCCGCCUGCGUCGUCGGCGUACAGCUGGUUAGGUCGAUCCAUUCCCACGCCUACAAGAGCGGGUUCCACGCGCAUGAUGUUGUAAGGACUUCGCUGCUUGAUGGGUACUCGAGGUAUGGCAUGAUGCUGGACGCACGAAAGCUGUUUGGUGGUUUGACCGAGAGGAAUGUGGUCUCCUGGACCGCGCUACUGUCCGGCUACACAAGGGCCGGGAAGGUCGGAGACGCGAUUGCUCUGUUUGAACGGAUGCCCGAGAGGGAUGUGGCUGCGUGGAAUGCGAUGAUCGCUGGCUGCACGCAGAAUGGAUUGUUUCUGGAGGCUCUGGGGAUUUGUAGCAGGAUGGUGGAAGAGGGGUUCCGGCCGAAUGGGACCACAGUUGCUUGUGUGCUGUCUGCAUGUGGGCACCUUGGGAUGCUGAAAAUCGGGAAGGUCAUCCAUGGUUAUGCGUGGAGGAGCUGUGUUGGUUUUGGCUCGUCUGUUGUGAAUGGGUUGAUUGAUAUGUAUGGCAAAUGCGGGACUUUGAAGGGGGCGAGGUGGAUGUUUGAUGAGUUUUCCGACAAGAGUCUGACCACAUGGAAUUGUCUGAUUAAUUGCCUUGCACUACAUGGGCACAGCAAGAGUGCAAUUGCUGUCUUCGGUGAGAUGAGGAACGCAGGAAUUGAACCUGAUGAGGUUACAUUUGUGGGACUGUUAAAUGCGUGCACCCAUGGUGGAUUUGUCGAUGAAGGGCUUAUGUACUUUGAACUCAUGUGCGAUGAGCUGAGAAUUGAGCCAGAGAUUGAGCAUUAUGGGUGUAUCAUUGACCUUCUUGGUCGAGCAGCACGAUUUGAAGAUGUAAUGAAUGUAAUCAAAGAUAUGAAAGUCCAACCAGAUGAGGUCAUUUGGGGGUCACUUCUCAAUGCCUGUAGGGUACACAGACAGCUAGAGCUUGCUGAGUUUGCUAUAAGAAAAUUACUGCAGUUGAACCCGAACAAUGUUAAUUAUGUUGUGAUGCUGGCAAACUUAUACAGUGAAGGUGGAUCCUGGGAACAGGUUACGAAGGUAAGGAAGCUGAUGCAGGAGGAUAUGGGCAAGAAAGUGCCUGGUUGUAGUUGGAUCGAGGUGGAUCGCAAGACACACAUGUUUUACUCUGGUGACGAUACUCAUCCUGUAUCAGAGGAUAUCUGUAACACUCUUGUGGAAUUAGUGGCCUCAAUGGAAAUGUGCCAGGAUUAA
rnacentral:rRNA from 1 species